UUUCAAAUCCAUUAUUAGAUUUGAAAAAAUAUAUUUUGCGGUUUCUUCAGUUGGAUAGAUAUUCUUUAUCAGAGGAAAAUUUAGUUCAAGGUAUUAUUUUUUGUAAAAAGGAACAUGCAAAAGAGCUUCAUGAAGAAUUGUUAUCAAUGGGUAUUACAACGGUACAUUAUAACCAAACAAAAUGCAAAGAAAGACUCAAAGUUCAACGAUUGUGGGACUCAGGCAAAUGUCGCAUAAUUAUUGCUACAAGUGAUUUUGGAAUAGGAAUUAGCAAGCCAUCAGUGAGGUUUGAUAUU